AAAUGCCCAAUGAGAUUAUGUGGGGUGACAUUCCAUCUGACAUUGAGACAUGACAACCUACUGCAGCUUGUUAUGGGUGCGGCGGACCUGAAGGAUGAGAAGAUAAAGUUGUGUGUGCAGCUUAUUGAUGAUGAGGUACUUAAUAUUGCUGACUGCUCACCAUCAGUCCUAUUGAUGAUUUUGUUUUGGAUUACUGCAUUCAGUACUCUGCUUUUGCCCACUGGCCGUCAGUCUUGGUGCUGCCCCCACGGACAAGUUACAAGCCCUCCUCACCACCAGUAUGCGCUCUGCGCCAUGCCCGAGCAUGCCAUCAUGGGUUGCCGUCCCUCACGACCCUUACCCAGCACGUGUAUAGGCCAGAGGGCCGCAUGACCUGAUGACCCAGACGACAAGACCGAAUCGCUUUUGGGAUCAUGGUGCUGCUACUGCCUGCUGAUAGCUGAUAUGCUGUGUUAGGGAAGGGAGAGAGGAGAUCGAUAGGAAUCAAGUAAUGGAGAGCUCUGUUGGCUUCUAGGUUUUGCAGCAUUAUCAGGAUGGGAAAAGACAGUCUCGUGUUAUCCAAGGACAACCUCAUAUAUACUCUAUGAGAAAGAUUGCAGCAGGCACAAAGCAUAUACUACUAUCAGUUUCAGUGGUUGGAUACAAUAUGAACUGAAAUCUGGUGUUCUGUGCGGAUCUUCUAUUUUGAAUUCUGAAUAAGUUUCAGACUUACAAUCGCUGCAAUUAUUUGGUAGCAUUUACCUCUGUUUUUUUUAAUGCAAACCAACCUCUUCGUGCAAACUAUUGAAACUUCAAUCUGAGUCAUUGGAUCAACAUCCAAGGGGUAUGGGAGAUUGAGUAAUUUUACAAUCUGGAUCCAUCCUUGAAUUGGGUAAUCAUAUUUUUGCAAAUUUCCCCUCCCACCUCUCUGCGCUCCUCCCUUUGGAUGUUGAUCUGAUGGUUCAGAUUGAAGUUUUCAUAGUUUGCACGAAGAGAUUGGUUUGCACCUGAUAGGUUCCCGUUUUCUUUUGGUCCUUUAAUUUUCAGGAAAAUGGCAUAACUAAAUUAUUUUAGAAUUAAUAGUGUUUUGUGUUUUUUAAUAAGAAGCAAUAUUUUAAAUCGCCGGCUAAGAGGUUUAGCGGCAGGGCUGCCGUUACGGCGUUUAGCGGGCUAUAGCCGCGACAUUUAGCAGGCUAUAGCCGGCUUUAGCGGGCUAAAUACUAUAGCGGCUGUCUUUUCUAGAAGCUAUAGCGGUCUAUAGCGGAAGCUAUAGCCAGCUAUUUAAAAACUUGAUAAGAAGACACGAGGGCUUCACCUUGGUCAACCAAAAACACAUGGAUAUCAAGGUCACAACUUAUGCUUAUGCAGGUUCAUGAGCCAUGAGAGUGGCACCACGUGUACCAAAGCCAUUUUACUUCCUUUGAUUUUGUUGGUGUAUGGGCACUGUGAUGGAGCCUUAGGAUUGAGUUGGGUAGAAACAAGGCAAGAACUUCUACAUAAUGGCAUAGGUAACUGGUGGGUGAGGUUCGAUCACUGGGAAAUUGAAGGUCUGUCCUGAUAUCUUUUCACAUGUGAUAUCUUGUCACAUGGAACAGAAGCUAGCUCUACUCGGUCACAAUUGUUUAUGUUUCUUUGAAGAAAAUUAAUACUGUGGAGUUUUGAUCUGCUGAGACCAAGUUUCUUGUGAAAAAGACCAGGAAAUAUAUUCAUCACUGUUAGCCGUAUAAAUCAGCAUCUGUAGGGUCUUGUUUAGUUGAAUUGUCUAUGUGGGCCUGUGGCUA